GUGCUGGGCCGUGCUUUGGCUUUCGGCCCGACGGCCCACAUGACCCGGCACGGGAGCUUGGGCCGUGCCCGGGUCGGCCCGGCACGAAAUGAAGCCCGACCGGCGUGGCGUUAGGGUUACGCGAGUUACUUCCUCUCCCGAGUCCCGACCUCUCGUAUCUCUCGCUCGCCUCCCUCGUCCGCGGUCCGCCGCCGCUCCAGAUCCAGCCGUGGGAGCGGGGACGGGGCAGGGCUUGAGCACGCUCUCUGCAGCUUCAGGCUCUGCUCGUCGGGGUGGAAGGAGAACUCGAGUGCUCCCAGGCUCUCAACCUCCACGCUCUGAACCGCUGGUACCCGAGAUGACAUGUCCUUGGGCUUGGGCUUGAGCUGGGCGCAGAACGAGCCCGUCGUCGGAAGGGACGAUGUGGACAACCUCGUCCCUGGCUCCAUGUUGAGGCCAUAGAGCUUGAACCCCGAGGCGGAGCCCUUCUGCCAGAGCGCGGCCCCGCGGUUGAACUGCUCGACGAAUGCGCCGAAUUGCUCCCUCCCGGAAUUGGAGCGGACGACGGAGUGAGAGAACUUCUUGUUCCUGUUGUAUGGUUUAUGAUGUGCGUGAGUGAUAAAAUCUAUGUAUUUGAUUCUUCUGAGUGUCUCUGUGUUAAUAACAAGUUGUCUUGUUCCUGUUGUUUUACUGAGCUCAA